rnacentral:rRNA from 1 species
UGAGUCGUCGUAGACAGCCCAGGCUGGUCUUGCUGGAUGUGAAACCUGGGUCCGUGAUCCGGAUCAGGGACAGGGUCUGAUGGGUAGUUUAACUGGGGCGGUUGCCUCCUAAAGAGUAACGGAGGCGCCCAAAGGUUCCCUCAGCCUGGUUGGCACUCAGGUGUUGAGUGUACGUGCACAAGGGAGCUUGACUGUGAGACCGACGGGUCGAGCAGGGACGAAAGGCGGGACUAGUGAUCCGGCAGUGGCUUGGGGCAGCGCUGUCGCUCAACGGAUAAAAGGUACCCCGGGGAUAACAGGCUGAUCUUCCCCAAGAGUCCAUAUCGACGGGAUGGUUUUGCACCUCGAUGUCGGCUCGUCGCCUCAUGGGGCUGGCGUCGGUCCCUAGGGUUGGGCUGGUCGCCCAGUAAAGCGGUAC